AUUACUUUGGCAGAAUAGUGCUUUAGAUUUAGAAUUUAAUUAUGUAUAGAUAAAUAUACAGGUAAUA
rnacentral:tRNA from 1 species